GACGAACGCUGGCGGCGUGCUUAACACAUGCAAGUCGAACGGAAAGGCCCUGCUUUUGUGGGGUGCUCGAGUGGCGAACGGGUGAGUAACACGUGAGUAACCUGCCCUUGACUUUGGGAUAACUUCAGGAAACUGGGGCUAAUACCGGAUAGGAGCUCCUGCUGCAUGGUGGGGGUUGGAAAGUUUCGGCGGUUGGGGAUGGACUCGCGGCUUAUCAGCUUGUUGGUGGGGUAGUGGCUUACCAAGGCUUUGACGGGUAGCCGGCCUGAGAGGGUGACCGGCCACAUUGGGACUGAGAUACGGCCCAGACUCCUACGGGAGGCAGCAGUGGGGAAUAUUGCACAAUGGGCGGAAGCCUGAUGCAGCAACGCCGCGUGCGGGAUGACGGCCUUCGGGUUGUAAACCGCUUUCGCCUGUGACGAAGCGUGAGUGACGGUAAUGGGUAAAGAAGCACCGGCUAACUACGUGCCAGCAGCCGCGGUGAUACGUAGGGUGCGAGCGUUGUCCGGAUUUAUUGGGCGUAAAGGGCUCGUAGGUGGUUGAUCGCGUCGGAAGUGUAAUCUUGGGGCUUAACCCUGAGCGUGCUUUCGAUACGGGUUGACUUGAGGAAGGUAGGGGAGAAUGGAAUUCCUGGUGGAGCGGUGGAAUGCGCAGAUAUCAGGAGGAACACCAGUGGCGAAGGCGGUCCUCUGGGCCUUUCCUGACGCUGAGGAGCGAAAGCGUGGGGAGCGAACAGGCUUAGAUACCCUGGUAGUCCACGCUGUAAACGGUGGGUACUAGGUGUGGGGUCCAUUCCACGGGUUCCGUGCCGUAGCUAACGCUUUAAGUACCCCGCCUGGGGAGUACGGCCGCAAGGCUAAAACUCAAAGGAAUUGACGGGGCCCCGCACAAGCGGCGGAGCAUGCGGAUUAAUUCGAUGCAACGCGUAGAACCUUACCUGGGUUUGACAUGGAUCGGGAGCGCCCAGAGAUGGGUGUGCCUCUUUUGGGGUCGGUUCACAGGUGGUGCAUGGCUGUCGUCAGCUCGUGUCGUGAGAUGUUGGGUUAAGUCCCGCAACGAGCGCAACCCUUGUUCACUGUUGCCAGCACGUUAUGGUGGGGACUCAGUGGAGACCGCCGGGGUCAACUCGGAGGAAGGUGGGGAUGACGUCAAGUCAUCAUGCCCCUUAUGUCCAGGGCUUCACGCAUGCUACAAUGGCUGGUACAGAGAGUGGCGAGCCUGUGAGGGUGAGCGAAUCUCGGAAAGCCGGUCUCAGUUCGGAUUGGGGUCUGCAACUCGACCUCAUGAAGUCGGAGUCGCUAGUAAUCGCAGAUCAGCAACGCUGCGGUGAAUACGUUCCCGGG
rnacentral:rRNA from 1 species